GGGCUGCCGCUGAUGCCCUGUGCAGUUUCAUUUCUUAUAAACACUGGGUUGGAAGGAAAGAGGCCUCAGCUCUCCAUCCGCCCUGUGCGGCCAGGGGCCGGGGGCGGAGGGUGCUCUGGGGCCAGGCCUGGCGGCCACGUCCCACAGUGACUCUGCAUGGAAGCAGCAUCCUCCCCGCCCCCCACGCGAAUGGGUCCUGCAGUACCGCCUGCGCCCACUAUCGUUCGCCCAGAGCGUCCCUGGCAGAAUUCUAGGCUUUCCUGGGGACAGCAGCACCCCUACUUCGCCCUGGGGAACCCGAGUCCUGAUCUGGAGUCCCUCGCCUCCAGCCCUGCAGAAAGUCUGGGAGUACGGUGACAAGGGCCAGCCAGACACAGAACAAGAGGAAGGGGCUGCUAAAAGCAGCUCACGUCACGAUCGUGGACUGAGCCCUGCAGUCGGGCUCUGAGCACUUAGCGUGGAAUCUGCUUGUCCUCCCUCUGCUCCUCACCCCGCUUGUGCACACAUUCUCUGUCUCUAAAAUAAAUAAAUAAAAUCUUUAAAAGAAGGUAGGUCUACGAAGGAGCUCAAUUUAGGUAGAA